CCUACGGGGGGCUGCAGUGGGGAAUAUUGGACAAUGGGGGCAACCCUGAUCCAGCCAUGCCGCGUGUGUGAAGAAGGCCCUCGGGUUGUAAAGCACUUUCAGUGAGGAAGAACGCCUGGUGGUUAAUACCCAUCAGGAAAGACAUCACUCACAGAAGAAGCACCGGCUAACUCCGUGCCAGCAGCCGCGGUAAUACGGAGGGUGCGAGCGUUAAUCGGAAUUACUGGGCGUAAAGCGCGCGUAGGUGGCUUGAUAAGCCGGUUGUGAAAGCCCCGGGCUCAACCUGGGAACGGCAUCCGGAACUGUCAAGCUAGAGUGCAGGAGAGGAAGGUAGAAUUCCAGGUGUAGCGGUGAAAUGCGUAGAGAUCGGGAGGAAUACCAGUGGCGAAGGCGGCCUUCUGGACUGACACUGACACUGAGGUGCGAAAGCGUGGGUAGCAAACAGGAUUAGAUACCCGAGUAGUC
rnacentral:rRNA from 1 species